rnacentral:rRNA from 1 species
CCUACGGGGGGCAGCAGUGGGGAAUAUUGGACAAUGGGGGGAACCCUGAUCCAGCCAUGCCGCGUGUGUGAAGAAGGCCCUCGGGUUGUAAAGCACUCUCAGUGAGGAAGAACGCCUGGUGGUUAAUACCCAUCAGGAAAGACAUCACUCACAGAAGAAGCACCGGCUAACUCCGUGCCAGCAGCCGCGGUAAUACGGAGGGUGCGAGCGUUAAUCGGAAUUACUGGGCGUAAAGCGCGCGUAGGUGGCUUGAUAAGCCGGUUGUGAAAGCCCCGGGCUCAACCUGGGAACGGCAUCCGGAACUGUCAAGCUAGAGUGCAGGAGAGGAAGGUAGAAUUCCCGGUGUAGCGGUGAAAUGCGUAGAGAUCGGGAGGAAUACCAGUGGCGAAGGCGGCCUUCUGGACUGACACUGACACUGAGGUGCGAAAGCGUGGGUAGCAAACAGGAUUAGAUACCCCUGUAGUC